AUUUUCUAAAAGCAAAUGAAUUCACAACAUUAAAUGUGCCCGUGAUUGAGGAUAUUAGAUUUGAGAAUCCGGACCAGCAACUUCAGAAUAAUCCGCCACAAUUGUUUUACAAAAAAAACUUAAACCUUAAGACCAGCGGUCUGAGUUCGUCGAGAUUUCUCGGAAAAAUGAUGUUUGGGCGCCCUAGCUCAAAACUAAACUGGUAAUAGGUAUGGUUGACCUCAGUAUACUGUGAAAGUUUGAAGCAAUUUGGAUAAAUAUUUUUGGCGAUAGAAGCCGAAAAGUAAUUUUUCGUCUCCCGCACCCGGAUUUGAGACAAUUUCGUGGUUGUUAGAAAAAGACUAAAAACCGGUUCGCAACGCGUGAUAAAACAUUUGAAGCUUAUAUAAACCUAAAGAAUAGAUAAUAAGGAUUUCCCAGGCUGAAAGAUAAGCUGUUCUGUCAGCACCUUAUUAUUUUACGCGAUUUUAUUUUAUUUUAUGUUUUUAGAUGACUUUGAAAAGCCUUGAAAUGACCGUGUAAUAUCGCCGAUGAGAUGUGGAUUUGGCAAAAAUGAUUGCAUUCAUCGAAAAGAACAUCAUUUCUACUUUUGAUAUGUGAAAUAAAAUUUAGGGGCAAAUAAAAUCCGACUUUUUUACAAGCCGAAAUAUGAUACCCACUUGACCCUAAUUAUAAAAAAAUGCCGACUACUGUAUCGGGUUUUCCGCAUUCAAACAACGCCUUCAACUCUCCAGAAAAACAAGAAAGAGCGCUCAAAUCAAAAGAAAUCUACUGUCGGCAAUACUAAAAUUUAAUGGUAAUAAUUUCAUAGCAUUUAUUGCAUUAAAUUGCGAUUUUUAGGCUCGCGUGAUACUAUUUUGUUUGCUGCCAUGCAUACGUAAUUAAAGCGUGACAAACAAAGCGACAAGCAUAAAAUACCUUACCAUGACUGCAAUAAGACUUUUCUGAUAAUUACUUAUUAAAAAGAAAAACGUCCAAAAGAAGAAAAUGAGAGUUUUGCAUGUUUUUAUUUAAUUAACAAGCGAUACUGACAUAAUUUUGUACAGUUUUAAAUUGUAAUUAAACAAAAAGCUUGAUCAAAUUGUCAAAAUUUGCUUAUUUUCAAAGCCUUUGUUCAACUACAAAUUUGAUCAAAUAAAAAUACAAAUUAUGCAAGAACGCUGAGACAUUUGCGAUAUUGAGGCCUCUCACCGUAAGCUGUUCUCCUUUUUAGUAAAAGAGAGUAUUGAAGUGUAAAAACUUACUCUGGUCUUCACAACAGAACACAGGAUUACCGACUCAGAAAUCUAUUUCAUGUAACCAUGAAAAAAAUAUAAUCGGGACCCAAGAAAUCGUGGAUUUAUUUUGCGCAACUACAUCUUCGAAUAACAUCCACGAGCGUGGCUACAAAAGAAGCUUUGCGUCGGGUUGCUCCGGGCACUUGAAGCUCCAGCUCUUUGCAGAUAGUGGGAAGGGUGGCCACUGAAAGAAAGCGAACAUCAUAUUCAUGCCGCCCUUGUCCCUCAUGCCCAGUCAGGUGGGAAGUCCUGAGGAAAAGGAAGACAUCGGCUACCUCCCCUCUCACCCCUUAAUUGGCAGCGCCUGCCCAGAACAUUAGUCUCAACUAACUUAGUUGAGACUUUUACAGUAUUUGUACAAAAAUUGUGUUAUUUUUACAGUUGGUCUUAUCAGAUUGAUCGAUAAAUUAUAUAUUUACAGUGUAUUUAAUUUCCAUAUUGUUUCAGUUGCUUUUAGCAGAUUGAUUGCAAUAUAUAUUUUAAAAAAAGUAGAAAAAAGCUGAAGUUUUCAAUUUUGAAAAGCCAAAAAAAUAUGAACUUGUUACUGAGCUUAUUUAUUUAUUAUUUUGAAUAUUAUUUUAGGUCUAACAGCGAACACCAGUUUAAAACUUUUUGUCAUUUUUUAUUUCAUUUAUAGAACUUAUAUAACAUAGAACCCACAAAAAUAUUGUAAUUAUGUUAUAGUUGCUACAGAACAUUGAUUGGUUGUAAUUCUAUAAAAUAGUGUUUAUUAAAAUAAAACUUUUGGUAGGCAAGUUUUGUAUUGUGGACUUUCUUUGAUUUGUAAUGGGUUCUUUUCUGGUGAAAUGAGGCUAUUUCAUCACACAGAAACCACAGAAUAUUAACCUGAGAAUUUAUAAGAAAUUUAAUUAUUCUAUUAAUAAUUUAAUAGAAUUGCGGUGCAAUUCUCAACUUCUUUCUUAGCGUUGCAGAGGUCAAAUGAAGACGCUCCAUUGCAACACAUCCAGCAUGACAGUCCGCUGACUAAAACACGGAGAAAGUCAGAAAUAACAAGCAUUUACAAGGAAAGUUUAGACAGUGGCUUAUAGACGGCCGUACACGCCUGCAAGCCAGUCAGUCAAGCCUUGCUUUUUUUGGACGAUUUUGUCAACAACUCGGUAGCCCAGUUUUGGAUUGCGCUAUGCUUUCUGGACAGAUAGCAUUCAUAGUAAGCGCCAGGAGCUUGGAGUUGGGGGGUUAGGGUUGGGGAGAGAGAGAGCCUAUGUUUCGAUCUUGCCGGUGUUCUCGGCUUGCCUGAAAGCGAGAUUAGCACUUAAAUUAUGCGUCCUUAGUGACAUCGUCCAGCGGACAAAGUGCAUUUUGAUAAUGGAAUCAUCAAGGAAGGACCUGGGAAAUAUGUGUUGGCUUAAAUUAAUUUGGGAACGCCCCUAUUCGAGAACACAAAUCGGGCUAGAAUCGUUUCACGCCUUUCCGUACAAAUAGCUGACCCGUUUCUAUACCGUUUCCUUUGCUUCUACUGUCAAAAUGGAAUCUCUACGGUUUAGAAAUUAUUGUCUUAAAGUAAAAGCUAACGGUGCCAAAGCCCUGUAACAUGCAUCAUUAUUUGGAAAAAAAAACUUAGAAAGUCAAAGACUAUUACUCUAAGUAGGCGAAUCACUGUCUUGGCUAAAAUGUCCUGAAUUAUAGAAUUCUCUAUUAAUUAACAAACGGGUAAAAAUAUUUUCUUAAGGAUAAACGGAUGAUAUUGCCGUGGAAUCGAGAAGGUAUGGGUUUUUAAUGGGUUAAAACAAGGAACCUAUAACGCGUAGUUUUGAUAUUUUUGCGGUUAUUUGCAUAAUUUUGAUUUAUAAAAGCAAC